CAGAGCUAUUGCUAUMAKGRUUUGACUAAGCCAUGCGAGUCGAGAGGUGAAAGACCUCGGCAUACUGCUCAGUAACACGUGGAUAAUCUGCCCUCAGGUGAGGAAUAAUCCCGGGAAACUGGGGCUAAUGCCUCAUAGGAGACGGGUGCUGGAAUGCUCUGUCUCCGAAAGGUCCGCCGCCUGAGGAUGAGUCUGCGUCCGAUUAGGUUGUUGUUGGGGUAACGGCCCAACAAGCCUUUGAUCGGUACGGGUUGUGGGAGCAAGAGCCCGGAGAUGGAUUCUGAGACAUGAAUCCAGGCCCUACGGGGCGCAGCAGGCGCGAAAACUUUACAAUGCGAGCAAUCGUGAUAAGGAAACCCUGAGUGCCUGUCAAUGCAGGCUGUUCUGGUGUCUAACACACACCAGGAGAAAGGGCGGGGCAAGACCGGUGCCAGCCGCCGCGGUAAUACCGGCUGCUCGAGUGAUAGCCACUUUUACUGGGCUUAAAGCGUUCGUAGCUUGGUCGUUAAGUCUCUGGGGAAAUCUUUUGGCUCAACCAAAAGGCGUCUCAGGGAAACUGACGAUCUUGGAACCGGGAGAGGUAAGACGUACUUCGGGGGUAGGAGUGAAAUCUUGUAAUCCCCGAGGGACGACCGAUGGCGAAGGCAUCUUACCAGAACGGCUUCGACAGUGAGGGACGAAAGCUGGGGGAGCAAACCGGAUUAGAUACCCGGGUAGUCCCAGCCGUAAACGAUGUGCGUUAGGUGUGUCAGUGACCACGAGUCGCUGAGGUGCCGAAAGGGAAACCGUGAAACGCACCGCCUGGGAAGUACGGUCGCAAGGCUGAAACUUAAAGGAAUUGGCGGGRGMRCACAYWSRACGGGUGGAGCCUGCGGUUAAU
rnacentral:rRNA from 1 species